rnacentral:rRNA from 1 species
GAUGAACGCUGGCGGCGUGCCUAAUACAUGCAAGUCGAGCGAACGGACGAGAAGCUUGCUUCUCUGAUGUUAGCGGCGGACGGGUGAGUAACACGUGGAUAACCUACCUAUAAGACUGGGAUAACUUCGGGAAACCGGAGCUAAUACCGGAUAAUAUUUUGAACCGCAUGGUUCAAAAGUGAAAGACGGUCUUGCUGUCACUUAUAGAUGGAUCCGCGCUGCAUUAGCUAGUUGGUAAGGUAACGGCUUACCAAGGCAACGAUGCAUAGCCGACCUGAGAGGGUGAUCGGCCACACUGGAACUGAGACACGGUCCAGACUCCUACGGGAGGCAGCAGUAGGGAAUCUUCCGCAAUGGGCGAAAGCCUGACGGAGCAACGCCGCGUGAGAGAUGAAGGUCCUCGGAUCGUAAAACUCUGUUAUUAGGGAAGAACAUAUGUGUAAGUAACUGUGCACAUCUUGACGGUACCUAAUCAGAAAGCCACGGCUAACUACGUG